UACGUAGGGGGCAAGCGUUGUCCGGAUUUAUUGGGCGUAAAGAGCGUGUAGGCGGCCAGGUAGGUCAGCUGUGAAAACUCGAGGCUCAACCUCGAGACGUCGGUUGAAACCAUCUGGCUAGAGUCCGGAAGAGGAGAGUGGAAUUCCUGGUGUAGCGGUGAAAUGCGCAGAUAUCAGGAAGAACACCAGUGGCGAAGGCGGCCCGCUGGGCAGUGGCUGACGCUGAGGCGCGACAGCGUGGGGAGCAAACAGG
rnacentral:rRNA from 1 species